UUGCUUCCGCCCUGCUUCCUUUUUGGAGAAUCCAAAAUGGAGUGAGAGAGGGGUUUGUGAAGACAGACAGACUGGGCUGCUGCAAGCUGCAAGGGUGUCCCCGGCCCCGCACGGCUGCUGUUGCACGGUUGCAUUGGCAGCUGGGCUGCAGCGGGCAGGAUGUGAGCGGCCAGCGGGAGCAGCAGAGCGGCCAGGAGGGGAGAGCAGGGACGGGGAGAGGAGGGAGGGAGGGAGGGAGGGCAGUGGGAGAGGAGGCUGCACUCACUCACUCACUCCCCCCUCCCGCUCCCCGGGCCCGCAGCCCGGCGCCACACUCACACUCACACUCACACUCACACUCACACUCACACUCGCACUCACACUCACACUCAGCAGUGAAGUUUGCAACCAUGUCCGCCGCCGCUCCACCAAAAUGACCGAGCAAUCGCACCCAGACCAUGACACCUACAUUGUGAGAGUCAAUGCUGUGGUGAUGAGCAGAGAUGACUCGGGCUGGCUCCCUCAGGAAGGAGGUGGGCUCAGUCGGGUCGGUGUCUGCAAGGCCAUUCAGCCCGACUCCACGGGCAGAAGUGACUUCCUCAUCCUCGGGGAGCGACUUAAAGACAAACUGAUUGUGUUGGAAUGUUUUUUGAAGAAGGACCUGGUCUACACUAAAGCAACUCCCACCUUUCACCACUGGAUGGUGGGCAACAGGAAGUUUGGGCUGACGUUUCACAGCCCUGCCGAUGCUCGUGCCUUCGACAGGGGAGUGAGGAAGGCCAUCGAGGAUCUGCUGGAAGGCUCCACCACCUCGUCGUCAACAAUACAGAACGAAGUGGAAGUUGGUGACGAUGACGUCUUCACGGCCACGACAGACAGUUCGUCAAACUCGUCGAGCAGGAAGGAGCCGCCGGUGAGGGUGUUGACCCCCACUGUGACCGAGACCCACCGGCCCCUAUGUCCCCUGAGACACGCACUUGACCAUUACAGCCCUGACAACUACCUCCUAGAGCAGUCCGUGCCCAAGCAACGACACGUGAGUUUCCGAGACGAUGAAGAGGAGAUCGUGCGGAUCAACCCGCGGGAGAAGGCGUGGUUGCGGGAACGAUACGAGGACUACCGCUACGCGGCGGUCAGGCCCAAGUACGGCGAGCAGGGAGACGGCGACUCGUACGUCCACUUCGACAAGAGCGACGCGCCCAAGCACGACUACAACUACCCCUACGUGGAGAGCUCGGACUUUGGCUUUGGCAAGGAGCUGAAGGGCGGGGUGGGGGUGGGGGUGGUGGCGGUGGUGAAGACCCAGCCCGCCCCGUCCAAGUCCAAGCUGCGGCGACGCAUCGACGACGGCGAGCGGUCCCGGUGCGUCUACUGCCGUGACAUGUUCAACCACGAGGAGAACCGGCGGGGGCAGUGCCAGGACGCUCCCGACCCCAUCCGGACAUGCAUCCGCCGUACCAGCUGUAUGUGGUGCGCUGACAGCAUGCUCUACCACUGCAUGUCCGAUCCCGAGGGAGACUACUCGGACCCCUGCUCCUGCGACACGGCCGACGAGAAGUUCUGCCUGCGCUGGCUGGCGUUGAUCGCACUCUCCUUCAUUGCCCCGUGUAUCUGCUGUUACCUCCCGCUGCGGGCUUGCUACAAGUGCGGCGUGAUGUGCCGCUGCUGCGGGGGCAAGCACAAGGCGGUGGGCUGAGCGGCCAUGUGGUGUACAGGACAUCGGACACUGCUCUGGAGAUGGAACAUCCUGAUCACAUUGUGGUGCGGAAACCGCAACGCUGGUCUCUGUGUGCGUGCGUGCGUGCGUGCACGUGUAGACACUACCUGACUGGACACCAUCAGCGCCACACACAACUAACCUUAACAACUAGACUUGUCUAUCAUGGAUAUAUAUAUAAGAAUGUCUCACAAUUGUUUAUAAUUUUUCUAAGAAUCUAAUGCGGGUGAGAGUUGAGCUAUGCGUGUGUGCGUGUGUGUGUGUGUGUGUGCGUGCGUGUGUGUAUGUG